rfam:Brassica oleracea var. oleracea cultivar TO1000 chromosome C2, whole genome shotgun sequence
AACCCGUGAUGAGGACACUCUCUGAGGGUAUCAUUGAACUGUUCCCAAGCUUCGUUGAAAGGUUCACUAGCGAGUUGCUUGAAGGAUGAAAUUUUGUUUCGUAGGGC